GUUGAACGCUGGCGGCGUGCCCUAUACAUGCAAGUCGAGCGGCCGGGCGAGCUUCUUGCUUUUCUGAUGUUACCGGCGGGCGGGUAAGUAAUCCGUGGAUAACCUACCUAUGAGACUAGGAUGACUUAGGCAAACCGGAGCUAAUACAGGAUAAUAUUUUGAACCGCAUGGUUCAAAAGUGAAAGACGGUCUUGAUGUCACUUAUACAUGGUUCCUCGCUGCAUUAGCUAGUUGGUAAGGUAACGGCUUACCAAGGCAACGAUGCGUAGCCGACCUGAGAGGAUGACCGGCCACACUGGAACUGAGACACGGCCCAGACUCCUACGGGAGGCAGCAGUAGGGAAUCUUGCGCAAUGGGCGAAAGCCUGACGGAGCAACGCCGCGUGAGGGAUGAAGGUCUUCGGAUCGUAAACCUCUGUUAUUAGGGAAGAACAUCUGUGUAAGAAACUGUGCACAGCUUGACGGUACCGGAACAGAAAGCCACGGCUAACUACGUG
rnacentral:rRNA from 1 species